rnacentral:rRNA from 1 species
UUGGAGGGCAAGUCUGGUGCCAGCAGCCGCGGUAAUUCCAGCUCCAAUAGCGUAUAUUAAAGUUGUUGCAGUUAAAAAGCUCGUAGUUGAAUUUCGGGAUCAGACUGUCGGUCGUGCCUCGGUACGCACUGGCAUUAUUGGUUCCUACCUUCUGAAGAACCGCGAUGUCAUUAAUUUGGUGUCGUGGGGAAUCAGGACUGUUACUUUGAAAAAAUUAGAGUGUUUAAAGCAGGCGCACGCUUGAAUACAUUAGCAUGGAAUAAUGAAAUAGGACGUUUGAUUCUAUUUUGUUGGUUUCUAGGAUCGACGUAAUGAUUAAUAGGGAUAGUUGGGGGCAUUAGUAUUCAAUUGUCAGAGGUGAAAUUCUUGGAUUUAUUGAAGACUAACUACUGCGAAAGCAUUUGCCAAGGAUGUUUUCAUUAAUCAAGAACGAAAGUUAGGGGAUCGAAGACGAUCAGAUACCGUCGUAGUCUUAACCAUAAACUAUGCCGACUAGGGAUCGGAUGAUGUUAAUUUUUUAAUGACUCAUUCGGCGCCUUACGGGAAAC